UGAAAUUGGGGUGAAAGUCAGGGAACGGGCAAUGAGUCCAUGUAUUUGUGUUUUCAGGGAGGUGUUAGGGAAAGGUGGAGGAAGGCGAAGAGAAGGCUAAGGAAGCCUAAGAACUGCGGCUGCAGAGUCACGGAAACACUUCGCUCCGCUCCAGGAUCACUGGCACAGGCCUUUGCCAGGGCGAACUCCGGGCAAGACCCGUGACCCCACCCCAGAAAACUCCCGACUCCCGGGCUGGAGAAGGUAGCCAAGAUCAUUCUCAGUUGCCAUAUGGCAAAGACACAGGAAGCUGCCCUGUGUAGAGACCCACAUGGCAAGGAACUGAGACAUCCUGCCAACAACCACCAGAGUCUGAGGCCUGCUGCCAUCACCACGUGAGUGAGACAUCUUAGAAGUGGAUCCUUCAGCCUAAGUCAAGCCUUCAGAUGAUUGCGUCUUGACUGCAGCCUCAUCAAAGACCUUGAACCAGAACCACCCAACUCAGUUACUCUCAAAUGCUUAACCCAUAGAAACUAUAGCGGUAAAAUAAGUGCUUAUUGUUUUAAGUCACUAAAUUUGGGAGAUAAUUUAUAUCUAUCCAGAAAUAGAUAACAAAUACACUAAUCCUGUUGUUCUCAACUUGGGACCAUUUCAUAUCCCAGGGGAUUUUGGCAAUGGCUUACGACAUUUUUCAUGGGGAUUAUGGCUUGCUAUGGCAGUCAGCCCCCAAGAUGGACCCCAUUGAUUCUGGACUCCUGGUGCCAAAACCAUUGUACCCAGAUCAACUGCAAACAAGAACAGAGUUUUAAUGGAAAUUUUAAACAAGUAAGAUGAAAAUCCUGAAGCAUUUCUUUCAAGAAUUGUAACAGGAGAUGAAACAUGGCUUUACCAGUAUAAUCCCGAAGACAAAGUACAAUCAGAGCAAUGGCUACCAAGAGGUGGAAGUGGUCCAGUCAAAGCAAAAGCAGACCUGCCAAGAGCAAAGGUCGUGGGAAUAGUUUUUUGGGAUACUUAUUUUGCUUGUUGACUUUCUGAAGAGCCAAAGAACAAUAAUAUCUGCUUGUUUCAAGAGUGUUUUGAGAAAGUUUGCUAAAGCUUUAGCAGAAAAAUUCCUGGAAAAGCUUCACCAGUCUUUUUCUACCGCAACAAUGCUCCCACUCAUUCUUCUCAUCAAACAAGGGCAAUUUUACAAGACUUUCAAUGAGAAAUCAUUAGGCAUCGACCUUACAGUCCUAAUUUGGCUCUUUCUAACUUCUUUUUGUUUCCUAAUCUUAAAAAAUCUGCAAAGGGCUCCCAUUUUUCGUCAUUUAAUCAUGUAAAAAAGACAUGGUUAAAUUUCCAUGAAUCUCAAUUUUUUUAGGGAUGGAUUAAAUGACUGGUGUCAUCACUUACAACCAUGGUUGACCUCGAUGGAGCUUAUGUUGAGAAAUAAAGUUUAUAUUCUUUAUCUUUUAAUUCAAUUUUUCCAUGAACAUUUUGAAGUGCCUCAUAUUAUAAAUGAUAUUUCAUUGUUAGUGGUUCAUUAAUAGGGUAUUUAAAUACAAUUCUUUUUUAAUAUUAGUCCUGUACACUGAGAUCAUGUUUAAAAACCUAUUAGUUCUAGUAGUAUUUUAUAGAUUUCUUUUGAUUUUCUAUGUAUACAAUCAUGUUUCUCCAAAUAAAGAGUUUUAUUUUUUUCCUUCCA
rnacentral:lncRNA from 1 species